rnacentral:rRNA from 1 species
GACGAACGCUGGCGGCGUGCUUAACACAUGCAAGUCGAACGGAAAGGCCUGCUUUCCCUUGUGGAUUGCGGGUACUCGAGUGGCGAACGGGUGAGUAACACGUGAGUGAUCUGCCCCCAACUUGGGUAUAAGCCUGGGAAACUGGGUCUAAUUCCCGAUAGGACUGCAGGGUGGUGCCUGUGGUGGAAAACGAUUUUCUAGUGGUUGGGGAUGAGCUCGCGGCCUAUCAGCUUGUUGGUGGGGUAAUGGCCUACCAAGGCGGCGACGGGUAGCCGGCCUGGGAGGGUGGACGGCCACAUUGGGACUGAGAUACGGCCCAGACUCCUACGGGAGGCAGCAGUGGGGAAAAUUGCACAAUGGGCGGAAGCCUGAUGCAGCGACGCCGCGUGGGGGAUGACGGCCUUCGGGUUGUAAACUCCUUUCGACCGCGAGGAAGCCACCUGGUUGGAAGGGUGGUGACGGUAGUGGUAGAAGAAGCACCGGCUAACUACGUG